CCAUACUAAACCUCCUCUCUUUCUCCCUCCUGCGGUGGCUGCGAGUACGAGGCAGCGUGGAAUGUCUGACGAAUCAAUGCCGACCACCUCCGCAAAGCAUUCUUUGUCGUGGCGGCGCAGCCUCACCAGGGCAACAAGCCUAGCCAGUUGUUCGUUAAGGAAAAUGCCUAAGUUCCUCGUGUGAUUGAAGAACGAAAACGUCUUCACAUAAUUGCUUGCACUAGAAUCCUUCGAUUCUUCUCUAAGUCGUGAUUCUUGCAAUUCAGAUCCGAUGCAUGCGAUUCAUAGUGUGAUUCAAGCACCAAAACAAUUCGUAUAGCCAGCGGCUGGAAUCGUAUCGAAUCGUGUCAUAUUUUAUCAUUUCUUGAAUCGAUAUUUACUAGCACGUUUACCCUAAGCAAUCACUAUUAUCGUAUUGAUUUUUGGUUUAGCA